rnacentral:rRNA from 1 species
GAUCAUGGCUCAGGAUGAACGCUAGCUACAGGCUUAAUACAUGCAAGUCGAGGGGCAGCAUGGUCUUAGCUUGCUAAGGCCGAUGGCGACCGGCGCACGGGUGAGUAACACGUAUCCAACCUGCCGUCUACUCUUGGACAGCCUUCUGAAAGGAAGAUUAAUACAAGAUGGCAUCAUGAGCCCGCAUGUUCACAUGAUUAAAGGUAUUCCGGUAGACGAUGGGGA